rnacentral:rRNA from 1 species
AGCACGGGAGCUUGCUCCUGGUGGCGAGUGGCGAACGGGUGAGUAAUACAUCGGAACGUACCCUGAAGUGGGGGAUAACGUAGCGAAAGUUACGCUAAUACCGCAUAUUCUGUGAGCAGGAAAGAGGGGGAUCGCAAGACCUCUUGCUUUAGGAGCGGCCGAUGUCGGAUUAGCUAGUUGGUGAGGUAAAGGCUCACCAAGGCGACGAUCCGUAGCGGGUCUGAGAGGAUGAUCCGCCACACUGGGACUGAGGCACGGCCCAGACUCCUACGGGAGGCAGCAGUGGGGAAUUUUGGACAAUGGGCGCAAGCCUGAUCCAGCCAUGCCGCGUGAGUGAAGAAGGCCUUCGGGUUGUAAAGCUCUUUCGGUGGGGAAGAAAUUGCUUCGGAUAAUACCUGGAGUAGAUGACGGUACCCGCAUAAGAAGCACCGGCUAACUACGUGCCAGCAGCCGCGGUAAUACGUAGGGUGCGAGCGUUAAUCGGAAUUACUGGGCGUAAAGCGUGCGCAGGCGGUUGUAUAAGUCAGAUGUGAAAUCCCCGGGCUCAACCUGGGAACUGCAUUUGAGACUGUACGGCUAGAGUUUGGCAGAGGGGGGUGGAAUUCCACGUGUAGCAGUGAAAUGCGUAGAGAUGUGGAGGAACACCGAUGGCGAAGGCAGCCCCCUGGGCCAAUACUGACGCUCAUGCACGAAAGCGUGGGGAGCAAACAGGAUUAGAUACCCUGGUAGUCCACGCCCUAAACGAUGUCAACUAGGUGUUGGAAGGGUUAAACCUUUUAGUGCCGUAGCUAACGCGUGAAGUUGACCGCCUGGGGAGUACGGCCGCAAGGCUAAAACUCAAGGAAUUGACGGGGACCCGCACAAGCGGUGGAUGAUGUGGAUU